GAUGAACGCUGGCGGCGUGCCUAAUACAUGCAAGUCGAGCGAACAGACGCGGAUCAUGCUCUUCUGACGUUAGCGGCGGACGGGUGAGUAACACGUGGAUAACCUACCUAUAAGACUUGGAUAACUUCGGGAAACCGUAGUUAAUACCGGAUAAUAUUUUUAACCUCAUGGUUCAAUAGUUAAAUACGGUUUUGCUGUCACUUCUAGAUGUAUCCGCGCCGCAUUAGUGAGUUGGUAGGGUAACGGCUUACCAAGGCGACGAUGCGUAGCCGACCUGAGGGCGUGUAGGACGACACUGGAACUGAAACGCGGUCCAGACACCUACGGGAGGCAGAGGUAGGGAAUCUUCCGAGAAGGGCGAAAGAUUGACGAAGCAACGCAGGGUGAGUGAUGAAGGUCUUCGUGUCGUAAAACUCUGUUAUUAGGGAAGAACAAAUGUGUAAGUAACUAUGCACGUCUUGACGGUACCUAAUCAGAAAGCCACGGCUAACUACGUG
rnacentral:rRNA from 1 species